UGCCAGACUCCUACGGGAGGCAGCAGUGGGGGAUAUUGCACAAUGGGGGGAACCCUGAUGCAGCGACGCCGCGUGGGUGAAGGAGUGCUUCGGCAUGUAAAGCCCUAUCGGCAGGGAAGAAGCAAGACGGUACCUGACUAAGAAGCCCCGGCUAACUACGUGCCAGCAGCCGCGGUAAUACGUAGGGGGCGAGCGUUAUCCGGAUUCACUGGGUGUAAAGGGUGCGUAGACGGGAAAGCAAGUUAGUUGUGAAAUCCCUCGGCUUAACUGAGGAACUGCAACUAAAACUACUUUUCUUGAGUGCAGGAGAGGUAAGUGGAAUUCCUAGUGUAGCGGUGAAAUGCGUAGAUAUUAGGAGGAACACCAGUGGCGAAGGCGACUUACUGGACUGUAACUGACGUUGAGGCACGAAAGUGUGGGGAGCAAACAGGAUUAGAUACCCGCGUAAU
rnacentral:rRNA from 1 species